UAGGAGGUGUCUUUGAUUUUGCUGAGUCUGACAUGGCUGCAGUAAGGAGAUGGUGGUGCUUGCUCCUGCUAACAAAUUAUCCUGUGAAAUCAGAUGCUGAAAGAAAGCUACUCAGAAAAAGGCUCAAAGAAAUGAAGAC